rnacentral:rRNA from 1 species
UACGUAGGGUGCAAGCGUUAAUCGGAAUUACUGGGCGUAAAGCGUGCGCAGGCGGUUUUGUAAGUCUGUCGUGAAAUCCCCGGGCUCAACCUGGGAAUUGCGAUGGAGACUGCAAGGCUAGAAUCUGGCAGAGGGGGGUAGAAUUCCACGUGUAGCAGUGAAAUGCGUAGAGAUGUGGAGGAACACCGAUGGCGAAGGCAGCCCCCUGGGUUAACACUGACGCUCAUGCACGAAAGCGUGGGGAGCAAACAGG